rnacentral:rRNA from 1 species
GACGAACGCUGGCGGCGUACUUAACACAUGCAAGUCGAACGGAAAGGCCCUGCUUUUGUGGGGUGCUCGAGUGGCGAACGGGUGAGUAACACGUGAGUAACCUGCCCUUGACUUUGGGAUAACUUCAGGAAACUGGGGCUAAUACCGGAUAGGAGCUCCUGCUGCAUGGCGGGGGUUGGAAAGUUUCGGCGGUUGGGGAUGGACUCGCGGCUUAUCAGCUUGUUGGUGGGGUAGUGGCUUACCAAGGCUUUGACGGGUAGCCGGCCUGAGAGGGUGACCGGCCACAUUGGGACUGAGAUACGGCCCAGACUCCUACGGGAGGCAGCAGUGGGGAAUAUUGCACAAUGGGCGGAAGCCUGAUGCAGCAACGCCGCGUGCGGGAUGACGGCCUCCGGGUUGUAAACCGCUUUCGCCUGUGACGAAGCGUGAGUGACGGUAAUGGGUAAAGAAGCACCGGCUAACUACGUGCCAGCAGCCGCGGUGAUACGUAGGGUGCGAGCGUUGUCCGGAUUUAUUGGGCGUAAAGGGCUCGUAGGUGGUUGAUCGCGUCGGAAGUGUAAUCUUGGGGCUUAACCCUGAGCGUGCUUUCGAUACGGGUUGACUUGAGGAAGGUAGGGGAGAAUGGAAUUCCUGGUGGAGCGGUGGAAUGCGCAGAUAUCAGGAGGAACACCAGUGGCGAAGGCGGUUCUCUGGGCCUUUCCUGACGCUGAGGAGCGAAAGCGUGGGGAGCGAACAGGCUUAGAUACCCUGGUAGUCCACGCUGUAAACGGUGGGUACUAGGUGUGGGGUCCAUUCCACGGGUUCCGUGCCGUAGCUAACGCUUUAAGUACCCCGCCUGGGGAGUACGGCCGCAAGGCUAAAACUCAAAGGAAUUGACGGGGCCCCGCACAAGCGGCGGAGCAUGCGGAUUAAUUCGAUGCAACGCGUAGAACCUUACCUGGGUUUGACAUGGAUCGGGAGCGCUCAGAGAUGGGUGUGCCUCUUUUGGGGUCGGUUCACAGGUGGUGCAUGGCUGUCGUCAGCUCGUGUCGUGAGAUGUUGGGUUAAGUCCCGCAACGAGCGCAACCCUUGUUCACUGUUGCCAGCACGUUAUGGUGGGGACUCAGUGGAGACCGCCGGGGUCAACUCGGAGGAAGGUGGGGAUGACGUCAAGUCAUCAUGCCCCUUAUGUCCAGGGCUUCACGCAUGCUACAAUGGCUGGUACAGAGAGUGGCGAGCCUGUGAGGGUGAGCGAAUCUCGGAAAGCCGGUCUCAGUUCGGAUUGGGGUCUGCAACUCGACCUCAUGAAGUCGGAGUCGCUAGUAAUCGCAGAUCAGCAACGCUGCGGUGAAUACGUUCCCGGG